rnacentral:rRNA from 1 species
UACGGAAGGCAGCAGUGGGGAAUAUUGCACAAUGGGCGAAAGCCUGAUGCAGCUAUGCCGCGUGUAUGAAGAAGGCCUUAGGGUUGUAAAGUACUUUCAUCGGGGAGGAAAAACAAAACUAAUAAUUUUAUUUCUUGACGUUACCCGAAAAAGAAGCACCGGCUAACUCCGUGCCAGCAGCCGCGGUAAUACGGAGGGUGCUAGCGUUAAUCAGAAUUACUGGGCGUAAAGAGUACGUAGGUGAUUUUUUUAAGUCAGAUGUGAAAUCCCUGGGCUUAACCUAGGAACUGCAUUUUGAAACUGAAAUACUAGAGUAUCGUAGAGGGAGGUAGAAUUCUAGGUGUAGCGGUGAAAUGCGUAGAUAUCUGGAGGAAUACCUGUGGCGAAAGCGGCCUCCUAAACGAAUACUGACACUGAGGUGCGAAAGCGUGGGGAGCAAACAGGGAUUAGAUACC